GGGGGCGUCAUGGUUUCGACGUGUUUGGUGAACGUGGAGUAGCGUGCUGAGGUCUCGAUCCUCGUAAAUCUUCGAGAACAUUUUUAGCUGCCAACGAUAAUCUGGCGCUGGCUGCGUAAGCUUUCUUACG
rnacentral:tmRNA from 1 species